rnacentral:rRNA from 1 species
UUGAACGCUGGCGGCAUGCCUUACACAUGCCAGUCGAACGGCAGCACGGGUGCUUGCACCUGGUGGCGAGUGGCGAACGGGUGAGUAAUACAUCGGAACAUGUCCUGUAGUGGGGGAUAGCCCGGCGAAAGCCGGAUUAAUACCGCAUACGAUCUACGGAUGAAAGCGGGGGACCUUCGGGCCUCGCGCUAUAGGGUUGGCCGAUGGCUGAUUAGCUAGUUGGUGGGGUAAAGGCCUACCAAGGCGACGAUCAGUAGCUGGUCUGAGAGGACGACCAGCCACACUGGGACUGAGACACGGCCCAGACUCCUACGGGAGGCAGCAGUGGGGAAUUUUGGACAAUGGGCGAAAGCCUGAUCCAGCAAUGCCGCGUGUGUGAAGAAGGCCUUCGGGUUGUAAAGCACUUUUGUCCGGAAAGAAAUCCUUGGCCCUAAUACGGUCGGGGGAUGACGGUACCGGAAGAAUAAGCACCGGCUAACUACGUG